CAGGGGGAUAAGCGGAAGAAAUUCCGUCUAAUACCGCAUAAUACAAUUUGGAGACAUCUCCGGGUUGUCAAAGGAGUGAUCCGGCAGAGGAUGGACAUGCGGCGCAUUAGCUAGUCGGCGGGGCAACGGCCCACCGAGGCUACGAUGCGUAGGGGUUCUGAGAGGAAGGUCCCCCACACUGGUACUGAGACACGGACCAGACUCCUACGGGAGGCAGCAGUGAGGAAUAUUGGUCAAUGGGCGGAAGCCUGAACCAGCCAAGUCGCGUGAGGGAAGACGGUCCUAUGGAUUGUAAACCUCUUUUGCAGGGGAACAAGGCGCGGUACGUGUACCGCGAAGGAGAGUACCCUGAGAAAAAGCAUCGGCUAACUCCGUGCCAGCAGCCGCGGUAAUACGGAAGAUGCGAGCGUUAUCCGGAUUUAUUGGGUUUAAAGGGUGCGCAGGCGGACUGUUAAGUCAGCGGUAAAAUGUCGGUGCUCAACACCGGCCGGCCGUUGAAACUGGCAGCCUUGAGUGAGCGAGAAGUAUGCGGAAUGCGUGGUGUAGCGGUGAAAUGCAUAGAUAUCACGCAGAACUCCGAUUGCGAAGGCAGCAUACCGGCGCUCAACUGACGCUCAGGCACGAAAGCGUGGGUAUCGAACAGGCUUAGAUACCCUGGUAGUCCACGCAGUAAACGAUGAAUACUGACUGUCCGGGCCGUUUAAGGCCUGGGUGGUCAAG
rnacentral:rRNA from 1 species